UUAAGCGACUAAGCGUACACGGUGGAUGCCCUGGCAGUCAGAGGCGAUGAAGGACGUGCUAAUCUGCGAAAAGCGUCGGUAAGGUGAUAUGAACCGUUAUAACCGGCGAUGUCCGAAUGGGGAAACCCAGUGCAAUUCGUUGCACUAUCGUUAACUGAAUACAUAGGUUAACGAGGCGAACCGGGGGAACUGAAACAUCUAAGUACCCCGAGGAAAAGAAAUCAACCGAGAUUCCCCCAGUAGCGGCGAGCGAACGGGGAGCAGCCCAGAGUCUGAAUCAGCUUGUGUGUUAGUGGAACGGUCUGGAAAGUCCGACGGUACAGGGUGAUAGUCCCGUACACCAAAAUGCACAGGCUGUGAACUCGAAGAGUAGGGCGGGACACGUGGUAUCCUGUCUGAAUAUGGGGGGACCAUCCUCCAAGGCUAAAUACUCCUGACUGACCGAUAGUGAACCAGUACCGUGAGGGAAAGGCGAAAAGAACCCCGGCGAGGGGAGUGAAAAAGAACCUGAAACCGUGUACGUACAAGCAGUGGGAGCACCUUCGGGUGUGACUGCGUACCUUUUGUAUAAUGGGUCAGCGACUUAUAUUCUGUAGCAAGGUUAACCGUAUAGGGGAGCCGCAGGGAAACCGAGUCUUAACUGGGCGUUAAGUUGCAGGGUAUAGACCCGAAACCCGGUGAUCUAGCCAUGGGCAGGUUGAAGGUUGGGUAACACUAACUGGAGGACCGAACCGACUAAUGUUGAAAAAUUAGCGGAUGACUUGUGGCUGGGGGUGAAAGGCCAAUCAAACCGGGAGAUAGCUGGUUCUCCCCGAAAGCUAUUUAGGUAGCGCCUCGUGAACUCAUCUUCGGGGGUAGAGCACUGUUUCGGCUAGGGGGUCAUCCCGACUUACCAACCCGAUGCAAACUACGAAUACCGAAGAAUGUUAUCACGGGAGACACACGGCGGGUGCUAACGUCCGUCGUGAAGAGGGAAACAACCCAGACCGCCAGCUAAGGUCCCAAAGUCAUGGUUAAGUGGGAAACGAUGUGGGAAGGCACAGACAGCCAGGAUGUUGGCUUAGAAGCAGCCAUCAUUUAAAGAAAGCGUAAUAGCUCACUGGUCGAGUCGGCCUGCGCGGAAGAUGUAACGGGGCUAAACCAUGCACCGAAGCUGCGGCAGCGACACUAUGUGUUGUUGGGUAGGGGAGCGUUCUGUAAGCCUGCGAAGGUGUGCUGUGAGGCAUGCUGGAGGUAUCAGAAGUGCGAAUGCUGACAUAAGUAACGAUAAAGCGGGUGAAAAGCCCGCUCGCCGGAAGACCAAGGGUUCCUGUCCAACGUUAAUCGGGGCAGGGUGAGUCGACCCCUAAGGCGAGGCCGAAAGGCGUAGUCGAUGGGAAACAGGUUAAUAUUCCUGUACUUGGUGUUACUGCGAAGGGGGGACGGAGAAGGCUAUGUUAGCCGGGCGACGGUUGUCCCGGUUUAAGCAUGUAGGCUGGUUGUCCAGGCAAAUCCGGAUAAUCAAGGCUGAGGUGUGAUGACGAGGCACUACGGUGCUGAAGUAACAAAUGCCCUGCUUCCAGGAAAAGCCUCUAAGCAUCAGGUAACAUCAAAUCGUACCCCAAACCGACACAGGUGGUCAGGUAGAGAAUACCAAGGCGCUUGAGAGAACUCGGGUGAAGGAACUAGGCAAAAUGGUGCCGUAACUUCGGGAGAAGGCACGCUGGUGUGUAGGUGAAGCCCCUGCGGGUGGAGCUGAGACCAGUCGAAGAUACCAGCUGGCUGCAACUGUUUAUUAAAAACACAGCACUGUGCAAACACGAAAGUGGACGUAUACGGUGUGACGCCUGCCCGGUGCCGGAAGGUUAAUUGAUGGGGUUAUCUGUAAGGAGAAGCUCUUGAUCGAAGCCCCGGUAAACGGCGGCCGUAACUAUAACGGUCCUAAGGUAGCGAAAUUCCUUGUCGGGUAAGUUCCGACCUGCACGAAUGGCGUAAUGAUGGCCAGGCUGUCUCCACCCGAGACUCAGUGAAAUUGAACUCGCUGUGAAGAUGCAGUGUACCCGCGGCAAGACGGAAAGACCCCGUGAACCUUUACUAUAGCUUGACACUGAACAUUGAGCCUUGAUGUGUAGGAUAGGUGGGAGGCUUUGAAGCGUGGACGCCAGUCUGCGUGGAGCCAACCUUGAAAUACCACCCUUUAAUGUUUGAUGUUCUAACGUUGGCCCCUUACCGGGGUUGCGGACAGUGUCUGGUGGGUAGUUUGACUGGGGCGGUCUCCUCCCAAAGCGUAACGGAGGAGCACGAAGGUUAGCUAAUCCUGGUCGGACAUCAGGAGGUUAGUGCAAUGGCAUAAGCUAGCUUGACUGCGAGCGUGACGGCGCGAGCAGGUGCGAAAGCAGGUCAUAGUGAUCCGGUGGUUCUGAAUGGAAGGGCCAUCGCUCAACGGAUAAAAGGUACUCCGGGGAUAACAGGCUGAUACCGCCCAAGAGUUCAUAUCGACGGCGGUGUUUGGCACCUCGAUGUCGGCUCAUCACAUCCUGGGGCUGAAGUAGGUCCCAAGGGUAUGGCUGUUCGCCAUUUAAAGUGGUACGCGAGCUGGGUUUAGAACGUCGUGAGACAGUUCGGUCCCUAUCUGCCGUGGGCGCUGGAGAAUUGAGGGGGGCUGCUCCUAGUACGAGAGGACCGGAGUGGACGCAUCACUGGUGUUCGGGUUGUCAUGCCAAUGGCACUGCCCGGUAGCUAAAUGCGGAAGAGAUAAGUGCUGAAAGCAUCUAAGCACGAAACUUGCCCCGAGAUGAGUUCUCCCUGAGACUUUAAGUCUCCUGAAGGAACGUUGAAGACGACGACGUUGAUAGGCCGGGUGUGUAAGCGCAGCGAUGCGUUGAGCUAACCGGUACUAAUGAACCGUGAGGCUUAACCUU
rnacentral:rRNA from 1 species